rnacentral:rRNA from 1 species
UACGUAGGGACCAAGCGUUGUUCGGAUUUACUGGGCGUAAAGGGCGCGUAGGCGGCGUGGUAAGUCAGCUGUGAAAUCUCCGAGCUUAACUCGGAACGGUCAGCUGAUACUGCUGUGCUAGAGUACAGAAAGGGCAAUCGGAAUUCUUGGUGUAGCGGUGAAAUGCGUAGAUAUCGGGAGGAACACCAGUGGCGAAGGCGAGUCCCUGGACAGGUCCUGACGCUGAGGCACGAAAGCUAGGGGAGCAAACAGG